rnacentral:tRNA from 1 species
UGUAGCUCAGUGGCAGAGUGCUUGUCUAAUAGGUAAGGAGGCCCUAGGUUUGAUCCCUAGCA